UGGCUCAGGAUGAACGCUGGCGGCGUGCCUAAUACAUGCAAGUCGAACGCUUCACUUCGGUGAAGAGUGGCGAACGGGUGAGUAAUACAUAAGUAACCUGGCAUCUACAGGGGGAUAACUGAUGGAAACGUCAGCUAAGACCGCAUAGGUGUAGAGAUCGCAUGAACUCUAUAUGAAAAGUGCUACGGGACUGGUAGAUGAUGGACUUAUGGCGCAUUAGCUUGUUGGUAGGGUAACGGCCUACCAAGGCGACGAUGCGUAGCCGACCUGAGAGGGUGACCGGCCACACUGGGACUGAGACACGGCCCAGACUCCUACGGGAGGCAGCAGUAGGGGAUUUUCGGCAAUGGGGGAAACCCUGACCGAGCAACGCCGCGUGAAGGAAGAAGUAAUUCGUUAUGUAAACUUCUGUCAUAGAGGAAGAACGGUGGAUAUAGGGAAUGAUAUCCAAGUGACGGUACUCUAUAAGAAAGCCACGGCUAACUACGUGCCAGCAGCCGCGGUAAUACGUAGGUGGCGAGCGUUAUCCGGAAUUAUUGGGCGUAAAGAGGGAGCAGGCGGCACUAAGGGUCUGUGGUGAAAGAUCGAAGCUUAACUUCGGUAAGCCAUGGAAACCGUAGAGCUAGAGUGUGUGAGAGGAUCGUGGAAUUCCAUGUGUAGCGGUGAAAUGCGUAGAUAUAUGGAGGAACACCAGUGGCGAAGGCGACGAUCUGGCGCAUAACUGACGCUCAGUCCCGAAAGCGUGGGGAGCAAAUAGGAUUAGAUACCCUAGUAGUCCACGCCGUAAACGAUGAGUACUAAGUGUUGGGUGUCAAAGCUCAGUGCUGCAGUUAACGCAAUAAGUACUCCGCCUGAGUAGUACGUUCGCAAGAAUGAAACUCAAAGGAAUUGACGGGGGCC
rnacentral:rRNA from 1 species